AUACGGAGGGUGCAAGCGUUGUUCGGAAUUACUGGGCGUAAAGCGCGUGUAGGCGGCCAGGUAAGUCGGAUGUGAAAUCCCGGGGCCCGACCCCGGAACUGCACCCGAUACUGCCUGGCUGGAGUCCCGGAGAGGAUGGCGGAAUUUCCGGUGUAGAGGUGAAAUUCGUAGAUAUCGGAAGGAACACCAGUGGCGAAGGCGGCCAUCUGGACGGUGACUGACGCUGAGACCCGAAAGCGUGGGGAGCAAACAGGAUUAGAAACCCCAGUAGUCC
rnacentral:rRNA from 1 species